GACGAACGCUGGCGGCGUGCUCAGCACAUGCAAGUCGAACGAUGAAGCCGGAGCUUGCUCUGGUGAAUUAGUGGCGAACGGGUGAGUAACACGUGAGUAACCUGCCCUUGACUCUGGGAUAACUGCGGGAAACUGUAGCUAAUACCGGAUACGACCCUCGGAGGCAUCUCCUGGGGGUGGAAAGAAUUUCGGUCAAGGAUGGACUCGCGGCCUAUCAGCUAGUUGGUGAGGUAAAGGCUCACCAAGGCGACGACGUGUAGCCGGCCUGAGAGGGUGACCGGCCACGCUGCGACUGAGACACGGCCCAUCCGCCUACGGGAGGCAGCAGUGGGGAAUAUUGCACAAUGGGCGCAAGCCUGAUGCAGCAACGCCGCGUGAGGGAGGACGGCCUUCGGGUUGUAAACCUCUUUUAGCAGGGAAGAAGCGAAAGUGACGGUACCUGCAGAAAAAGCACCGGCUAACUACGUGCCAGCCGCCGCGGUAA
rnacentral:rRNA from 1 species